UACGUAGGGUCCGAGCGUUGUCCGGAAUUAUUGGGCGUAAAGGGCUCGUAGGCGGUUUGUCGCGUCGGGAGUGAAAACUUGGGGCUUAACCCCAUUCGUGCUUCCGAUACGGGCAGACUAGAGGCAGGCAGGGGAGAAUGGAAUUCCUGGUGUAGCGGUGGAAUGCGCAGAUAUCAGGAGGAACACCGGUGGCGAAGGCGGUUCUCUGGGCCUGUUCUGACGCUGAGGAGCGAAAGCAUGGGGAGCGAACAGG
rnacentral:rRNA from 1 species